UACGGGGGGGGCAAGCGUUGUUCGGAAUUACUGGGCGUAAAGGGUUCGUAGGUGGCUUGCUAAGUCAGACGUGAAAUCCCUCAGCUUAACUGGGGAACUGCGUCUGAUACUGGCGAGCUUGAGUGCAGGAGAGGAACGCGGAAUUCCAGGUGUAGCGGUGAAAUGCGUAGAUAUCUGGAGGAACACCGGUGGCGAAGGCGGCAUCCUGGACCAACACUGACGCUGAGGGAGCGAAAGCCAGGGGAGCAAACGGG
rnacentral:rRNA from 1 species